rnacentral:rRNA from 1 species
GAUGAACGCUAGCUACAGGCUUAACACAUGCAAGUCGAGGGGAAACGGCAUCGAAAGCUUGCUUUUGAUGGGCGUCGACCGGCGCGCGGGUGAGUAACACGUAUCCCACCUGCCCAUGACUUGGGAAUAACCUUGCGAAAGUAAGACUAAUGCACAAUGACAUCCCACGAAGGCAUCCGAAUGGGAUUAAAGUUCUAUCGGUGAUGGAUGGGGAUGCGUCUGAUUAGCUUGUUGGCGGGGUGACGGCCCACCAAGGCAACGAACAGUAGGGGUUCUGAGAGGAAGGUCCCCCACAUCGGAACCGGGGCACGGUCCAAAAUCCGACGGGGGGCAGCAGUGAGGAAUGAUAGGCAAGGGGCGAGAACCUGGACCAGCCAAGUAGGGGGCAAGAUGACUGGCCUAUGGGUUGUAAACUGCUUUUAUAAGGGAAUAAAGUGAGUCACGUGUGACUUUUUGAAGGUACCUUAUGAAUAAGGACCGGCUAAUUCCGUG